rnacentral:tRNA from 1 species
UUAAUAGAAGCCAAAAUAGAGGCAUGUCUUUGUUAAUGACAUUAGUGGUGUUUGCCCUGUUAAU